ensembl:snoRNA
ACAGACUGAAAAUUGCCGCUGGCGUUCUGGUAGCCUUUGGUGAGAUACCUGUGCCUAAAUAAUAAUGGAGCAUUAAGCUUAUUACCCAUAAUCUCGUGUGUGCGUAAUGAGACCCGUGCUCCUACAUUG